GGAGUUGUGGCUCAGUGGUAGAGCACUUGCCUAGCAUGUGUGAGGCCCUGGAUUCAAUCACCAGCACCAUUU
rnacentral:tRNA from 1 species